ACUUCUGAUGCCGCAGUCAAGUUACCGAACUAAAACAAUUUGGUAGUUAGCAAAGAACACAAACCAAUUCAUUAGUUAGAUCGGAGCCUGAAAAAGUUGAAGUCGUCGUGGUGGGCAUUGAGCUCCUUCAACCACGAGUCUGCAACACUAUAUAGGUCGGACAUCCUUUGACCAUUAAAAGAGGAACUUAACCAAAUGUUCCUCUGUAGUUUGUAACUAGCUAGCCCAAAAAGGGUGAGAGAAAUGAAACUAUGGUCUUGCUCCUUGCAUAGGUCUCCCUCAUCACUUCCCCAGCAAUUACAACUACAUAUGUUUUUCCCUAUGUCCUUAUCGCCGUAUUUUUCCGCGCAAUGCAGGGACGAAUAAGAAUUAAGGUUAUUAAUUUGAAACUAUUGAAUUCAUGUGCUGAAAAACCUUCUAUAAUUGGUUAUUAUGCCAAAAUCAGUUAUGCGGAGAAGAUUUUUGGGUGUCAGCAUGAGUGUGAUUAGGGCCAGCUUCACAACAAAAAAAUUCUACCAAAAUACAGCCAAGAACCAUGAGCUAAGCCUUAAAUGCAUAUAGUUUCAAGUGAAUAACCUUGGUCCUUAUUUGGCCUGGAAGAUUGUUCAGACGAAUGUGGUGACAUUGACAUGGGGGAAAAUAUAUGAUUUUUACUAGUGGGGAACAAUUAAGGGAGAUAAAUGCAAGAAAGAGAAUUUUUCCGGCAGGCUACAAAGCCAAGAGACCCAAUAGCAUGGCAUGUGAUCCAAAGGAAUUACACGUAAGUGAAUUCCAUAAGGGCGGGCGGGAUGACUUAGGAAAUGAAGAUCAUGUCCCAGCUAGUGUUCGAGCGAGUGCAGGAUGACCGAGAUACAACAAUGAAGCAAGGUGGCCAAGAGCAAAACUUGCGCUCAGAAGCACCUUCAUAAAGGUUUCCCACAAAUCUGCAGAGGUACCCCCCACACAAUGGUCCAACAACUCCACUGUGCACCUCAAGCCAUUCUUGACCGUGUUCCACCGGAGAGACUAAGGAGAACCCAUAGUCUUAUUCCGAGAAAAAAAAGAUGAAAGGAUAUCUGAUUUGAACAAUGUUGUGGACUUGUGGUUGAAGUCAAGUGACAAAGUCAAGUUAAACGACACCGGUGACAGUAAAAGGACAAAAUACUCAGUUAUCACAAUGUUUCAUGCUUGGACGAAAAAGAAUAUUUUCAAGAGAAAUAGUAGAAUGUGAUGCAUUGAAGUAAAAAAAAUUAUUGUAGAGGUACAAUGCUACGUUAAGGAAGGCUUGUGUGAAGAAUAAAACAAGGUGCAGUUGAAUAAGCCCUACAACAAGUGUCAGAUGCAAACCCCAUAUUUCUGCUAAUAAGUUUUGCAACAAACAUGGAGAACUUCUGGAUGCUCGUAUGGAUACUAUGUAUCCAUAUAUGAAAUCUCUCCAAAACUAGAUCUGUUUAAAGGAGCUAAAUAGAAAAUGGCAACCUAUCGGCAAGAACAAAAUUGACUACUUCAUCCUGAAAGAUCUUUUGAACUGCUAUGAAGGAUGGAGUGCAUGGGGUGCUGGCGCACCUGUAAAGUUAGAAGCUGGUGAUACUCUGAUGCAGUACCAUGUUCCAUAUCUCUUAACCAUCCAAAUAUAUACCACUAAGUCUGUUGGACUUGGAGCUUCAAGAUAAAUGAGAUGGAUGAAAGCUAUCCUACAUUGAUGUCAUUGAAGAGAGUGGAUAUUUCACAUCCGAGUUGGAUGGUUGUUGCUUGGUGAGUAGAAUUGAUUAUUCUUGUAAUACUGAAAAAUUGUUAUACUUGUUGAUGAACACUUCGACUUGAAGUGGAUGCACCUACAUGAGUUGGCGAUUCUAGGUGUUUGUUAAUAGUUACCAAAAGAAAAAGAAAACUCACUUUAAUCUAAAUUUGGUUUGUUAUUUUGAUUUCUUAAACAA